GAGGCGGACUCCGGCUGACACCUCGGCAGCGGUCCCUGCCCGCGGGGGGACCACGGCCUCGGCCCCCGAAGAACGAAGAGCGGCCUCGGCUCUCGCUGCGUGACCUUGGAGACGCCCCAGCCGGGCGACCGGGUCAGCGCGCGGUGCAGAAGCCUGAGGGGAGGAACAGACCUCGCUCUGCGCCGCCUGGAACCGACGACGACCAACCCUGGCAGCAACGCUGCAGCCCGCGGUCUCUGGCGACGCCCACCGAGGGCCGGGACCAGGGGGCCGGUGAGGGUGGAGGUCUCGCUGGCCUUUGGGUCCGUGGGGAGGGGCGCCCUGAUCUGGGGCCUCCACCUCCCCCAUCCCCAGACUCCAGCCCUUGGCCAAGCAGGGUUCAGCCGUGCCUGCGUGCGAGGCAGAGGCCUCCUCCUGGGACUUCCACCUGGGGAGAAAGGCCUCCGGGGCAGCCAGGGUGGAAGGCGGAGGCCAGCCUGGCUGCGGAGGCGCUGGGAGCCGCGGACCCUAGAAGUCUUGGGAGACCCCGCCUGCUCUUCAGGGGUUCCUGCAACCACCGCAGCUGCACAAAUUCUGCAACUGGCUCUUUCCUCCCCUCUAAUGAUGCUGUUGCCACCACCUUGCGUGGAAGUAUUGAGCACUUUACAAUAUGUAUUCACAGAUUCAAUAAAUAUUUAUGAAUGCUAACCUGUGCCGGGCCCUGCAGGUGACAGAAGGGAACCCCUGCCUCCGUGAAGUGUAGGUUCUAGAGGGAGGCAAGGGUAAGAGCUCUGAGGUGUGGGGAGGGCCUCAGGUGACAUCUAGACAGUGACUUACAGGGAGCAAGUGGUCAGCUGUGCUGCCUCCAGUCAUACUCUGCCCUCGUCGUCCACGGUGGCUGCUGCUGGUCCAGCCAUCACAUCUGAAUCCCAGCAGUAGAGUGAGGAAACGGGAAAGGUAGCUAGCCACUCCUUCGCAGAGCACAGCCUAGGAAGCCUAGGAGUGCACAUAGCACCUUCGCUUAUCCUGUUAGCCAGAACUUAGUCCUGUGGCCACACCUUCGUGUGCAGAAGGCUGAGAAACACGCCUCACCCAUGUCUGUGGUGCUAUGGAUAAGAAAUCACCAGAGGCUGGGUCUCAAGGGCACAGCUAACACCAGUGGAAAGACCAGGGAGGAUGAGAACUCCUUUCUUCAGCACAUCCUCUCACCAUCGCCCCACCUCCACUCAUGUGGCACCGGCAGGCAUGCCUGCUCACACCUGCCCACACUGGCUCACACCUGCUGACACCUGCUCACACCUGUUCUCAUCUGCUCACACCUGCCCACACUGGCUCACACCUGCACACAUCUGUCCACACCUGUUCCAGCCUGCUCACAUCUACUCACACCUGUUCCCACCUGCCCACACCUGCCCACACUGGCUCACACCUGCUGACAUCUGUCCACACCUCUUCCCACCUGCUCAACCUUCUCACACCUGUUCCCACCUCCCCACACCUUUUUCCAAGAUGAACUUUUGAAUCAUUUUUGGACGUUCCCCCCAAAUACAUUUCUGAUUUGGUUGAAAAGUCACUAAAUGUAUAAAUAAAUUUGCUGAGAACUGACAUCUUUAUGGUGUCAAAUAUUUUCACCCAGGUCCUGCACAUUUUUUCCAUUAAUUUAUGUGUGUGUAUUCACAUUCUUGUCACUAC
rnacentral:lncRNA from 10 species